AUAAUGGUUAACAAUAACCUUCGUAUAAGCUUAAUAAUAAGGUUUAAGCGUCUCUACUAUAUCACCGUAAAUGAUAUAACUAUGAAGUCUCUGGAUCCACGA
rfam:Clostridium disporicum strain 2789STDY5834856 genome assembly, contig: SCcontig000024